GACGAACGCUGGCGGCGUGCCUAAUACAUGCAAGUAGGACGCAGUUGCGAACGGGUGAGUAACGCGUAGGUAACUACCUAUUAGAGGGGGAUAACUAUUGGAAACGAUAGCUAAUACCGCAUACUAGUAGAUGGACCUGCGUUGUAUUAGCUAGUAGGUAGGGUAAUGGGCUACCUAGGCAACGAUACACAGCCGAGUUGGAUGGGGGGUCGGCCCAACAGGGACUGGGACCCGGCCCAGGCUCCUACGGGAGGCAGCAGUAGGGGAACAUCGGCAAUUGGGCGAACGCUGACCGAGCAACGCCGCGGGAGUGAAGAAGGUUUUCGGGUCGUAAAGCUCUGUUGUUAAGGAAGCGGUACUUAACCAGAAAGGGACGGCUAACUACGUGCCAGCAGCCGCGGUAAUUC
rnacentral:rRNA from 1 species